rnacentral:rRNA from 1 species
UACGAAGGGGGCUAGCGUUGUUCGGAAUUACUGGGCGUAAAGCGUGCGCAGGCGGCUUCUCAAGUCAGGGGUGAAAGCCCAGAGCUCAACUCUGGAAUUGCCUUUGAGACUGAGUGGCUUGAGUACGAGAGAGGUGAGUGGAAUUCCCAGUGUAGAGGUGAAAUUCGUAGAUAUUGGGAAGAACACCGGUGGCGAAGGCGGCUCACUGGCUCGUAACUGACGCUCAUGCACGACAGCGUGGGGGAUCAAACAGG